UACAGAGGUCCCAAGCGUUGUUCGGAUUCACUGGGCGUAAAGGGUGCGUAGGUGGCCAGGUAAGUUUGGUGUGAAAGCUCGGAGCUUAACUCCGAAAAGUCAUUGAAUACUAUCUGGCUGGAGGGUCGGAGGGGAGACUGGAAUUCUCGGUGUAGCAGUGAAAUGCGUAGAUAUCGAGAGGAACACCAGUGGCGAAGGCGAGUCUCCGGACGACACCUGACACUGAGGCACGAAAGCUAGGGGAGCAAACAGG
rnacentral:rRNA from 1 species